UGUGUGAAAGGGCACAGGAACUAUGGCACUCACAGUGUGUGCCAGCGUGGGCCCGAAGCAAUGCUUCUGAGCUGGCCAGGAGCCGAGAUAAAAGACAGCAGAUGAGAAAAUGAGAGCUACACUGUUCUAAAAUCUCUUCUACCCCCUGAGCCUGCAGAGCAAGCCGCUUGGAAUGCUUCAGAUUCUAUUUUUAGGCUUCCGUGGUUGCUCAGAAUCUGGGCAAGGGGCUGAUUCUCCUGAGGAAAGCCAUCAGAACAGGACACCGGAGCUCACAUCCCAAAAGGCUAGUACAACAGACACCUUUCUGGGAGACUGAUGUUUCUGUAACUUUCAUCAGACUUAGAAGAGACGGGGGCGCUUGGGUUCUCUGGCUUUGCUAGUGCCAAAUGCCAGAUCCAUGCUUCUACUUGGGGCCACUGUCUGCUGUCAUGACCUUUACACUCCGACCUCAUCCAGCAGUUCCCUGUCCAAAACAUUUUGGUGACUCGGCUGAACACACCAUGUGCUAAGAUGCAAGCUUUCAAAAUCUUGUGCCCAGGAAAAGGAAAACAUUACAUGGAAUAGAUGACCUUGACCAGAAAUGAUUACUAAAAUCUCUGAAAUUUAAUUUUUUAAAUACAAAUAAAGUUUUAUUAUCCCAAGUCA